UACGGGGGGGGCUAGCGUUGUUCGGAAUUACUGGGCGUAAAGGGCUCGUAGGUGGCCGACCCAGUCAGACGUGAAAUCCCUCGGCUCAACCGGGGAACUGCGUCUGAUACUAGUCGGCUUGAAUCCGGGAGAGGGACGCGGAAUUCCAGGUGUAGCGGUGAAAUGCGUAGAUAUCUGGAGGAACACCGGUGGCGAAGGCGGCGUCCUGGACCGGUAUUGACGCUGAGGAGCGAAAGCCAGGGGAGCAAACGGG
rnacentral:rRNA from 1 species